rnacentral:lncRNA from 1 species
CCGCCCGCGACUCUGCCUCUCCGCCCCGCCGCCAUGUGGGAGCUUCGGCCGCUCCUCCUCGGCCUCGAGGUCGGCGGCUGCGGAGCGCCUCGGUUCCGAAGCGCGGUCUGAAAGGGCUCCCCAGGCGGCGGCUGUGCCGUUAUAGGAAGAAAGUGAGCAUGGAGUGUGUUAUCCCGAGCACCACUGCGAUGCUGGGCUGAGGAGUUCGUGAGGCUUCGUUCUUCCAGAGGACCGUUAGUGAACUGAUUACUGAAAAUGAAGUAAAUGGAGCUACAUUUACUGAAGACUCAAGUGCAUGGUGAUGGUACAUCAAACUGGGCUCAUCUGUAACUCAUGUCAUGCUACUGUGCCUGGCUGCCUUUGACUUUGCAGCUCAUGCAGGUUAAGUACUCCAUUGCCACUGCUCUGAGUGUGGUCUUUGGCAUGCAACCCAGCAUCAGGAUUUGAACUCACACUUUCGGAUUUGCAGCAGUUCCUUGGGCAGCUCUGACACUAAGCCCCUUAUCAGAUUAAACAGCAGAAAGGAAAUUCUUUG